GGUUAAGCGACUAAGCGUACACGGUGGAUGCCCUGGCAGUCAGAGGCGAUGAAGGACGUGCUAAUCUGCGAUAAGCGUCGGUAAGGUGAUAUGAACCGUUAUAACCGGCGAUUUCCGAAUGGGGAAACCCAGUGUGAUUCGUCACACUAUCAUUAACUGAAUCCAUAGGUUAAUGAGGCGAACCGGGGGAACUGAAACAUCUAAGUACCCCGAGGAAAAGAAAUCAACCGAGAUUCCCCCAGUAGCGGCGAGCGAACGGGGAGCAGCCCAGAGCCUGAAUCAGUGUGUGUGUUAGUGGAAGCGUCUGGAAAGGCGUGCGAUACAGGGUGACAGCCCCGUACACAAAAAUGCACAUGCUGUGAGCUCGAUGAGUAGGGCGGGACACGUGGUAUCCUGUCUGAAUAUGGGGGGACCAUCCUCCAAGGCUAAAUACUCCUGACUGACCGAUAGUGAACCAGUACCGUGAGGGAAAGGCGAAAAGAACCCCGGCGAGGGGAGUGAAAAAGAACCUGAAACCGUGUACGUACAAGCAGUGGGAGCACAGAGCAAUCUGUGUGACUGCGUACCUUUUGUAUAAUGGGUCAGCGACUUAUAUUCUGUAGCAAGGUUAACCGAAUAGGGGAGCCGAAGGGAAACCGAGUCUUAACUGGGCGUUAAGUUGCAGGGUAUAGACCCGAAACCCGGUGAUCUAGCCAUGGGCAGGUUGAAGGUUGGGUAACACUAACUGGAGGACCGAACCGACUAAUGUUGAAAAAUUAGCGGAUGACUUGUGGCUGGGGGUGAAAGGCCAAUCAAACCGGGAGAUAGCUGGUUCUCCCCGAAAGCUAUUUAGGUAGCGCCUCGUGAAUUCAUCUCCGGGGGUAGAGCACUGUUUCGGCAAGGGGGUCAUCCCGACUUACCAACCCGAUGCAAACUGCGAAUACCGGAGAAUGUUAUCACGGGAGACACACGGCGGGUGCUAACGUCCGUCGUGAAGAGGGAAACAACCCAGACCGCCAGCUAAGGUCCCAAAGUCAUGGUUAAGUGGGAAACGAUGUGGGAAGGCCCAGACAGCCAGGAUGUUGGCUUAGAAGCAGCCAUCAUUUAAAGAAAGCGUAAUAGCUCACUGGUCGAGUCGGCCUGCGCGGAAGAUGUAACGGGGCUAAACCAUGCACCGAAGCUGCGGCAGCGACACUAUGUGUUGUUGGGUAGGGGAGCGUUCUGUAAGCCUGUGAAGGUGUACUGUGAGGUAUGCUGGAGGUAUCAGAAGUGCGAAUGCUGACAUAAGUAACGAUAAAGCGGGUGAAAAGCCCGCUCGCCGGAAGACCAAGGGUUCCUGUCCAACGUUAAUCGGGGCAGGGUGAGUCGACCCCUAAGGCGAGGCCGAAAGGCGUAGUCGAUGGGAAACAGGUUAAUAUUCCUGUACUUGGUGUUACUGCGAAGGGGGGACGGAGAAGGCUAUGUUGGCCGGGCGACGGUUGUCCCGGUUUAAGCGUGUAGGCUGGUUUUCCAGGCAAAUCCGGAAAAUCAAGGCUGAGGCGUGAUGACGAGGCACUACGGUGCUGAAGCAACAAAUGCCCUGCUUCCAGGAAAAGCCUCUAAGCAUCAGGUAACAUCAAAUCGUACCCCAAACCGACACAGGUGGUCAGGUAGAGAAUACCAAGGCGCUUGAGAGAACUCGGGUGAAGGAACUAGGCAAAAUGGUGCCGUAACUUCGGGAGAAGGCACGCUGAUAUGUAGGUGAAGUCCCUCGCGGAUGGAGCUGAAAUCAGUCGAAGAUACCAGCUGGCUGCAACUGUUUAUUAAAAACACAGCACUGUGCAAACACGAAAGUGGACGUAUACGGUGUGACGCCUGCCCGGUGCCGGAAGGUUAAUUGAUGGGGUUAGCGCAAGCGAAGCUCUUGAUCGAAGCCCCGGUAAACGGCGGCCGUAACUAUAACGGUCCUAAGGUAGCGAAAUUCCUUGUCGGGUAAGUUCCGACCUGCACGAAUGGCGUAAUGAUGGCCAGGCUGUCUCCACCCGAGACUCAGUGAAAUUGAACUCGCUGUGAAGAUGCAGUGUACCCGCGGCAAGACGGAAAGACCCCGUGAACCUUUACUAUAGCUUGACACUGAACAUUGAGCCUUGAUGUGUAGGAUAGGUGGGAGGCUUUGAAGUGUGGACGCCAGUCUGCAUGGAGCCGACCUUGAAAUACCACCCUUUAAUGUUUGAUGUUCUAACGUUGACCCGUAAUCCGGGUUGCGGACAGUGUCUGGUGGGUAGUUUGACUGGGGCGGUCUCCUCCUAAAGAGUAACGGAGGAGCACGAAGGUUGGCUAAUCCUGGUCGGACAUCAGGAGGUUAGUGCAAUGGCAUAAGCCAGCUUGACUGCGAGCGUGACGGCGCGAGCAGGUGCGAAAGCAGGUCAUAGUGAUCCGGUGGUUCUGAAUGGAAGGGCCAUCGCUCAACGGAUAAAAGGUACUCCGGGGAUAACAGGCUGAUACCGCCCAAGAGUUCAUAUCGACGGCGGUGUUUGGCACCUCGAUGUCGGCUCAUCACAUCCUGGGGCUGAAGUAGGUCCCAAGGGUAUGGCUGUUCGCCAUUUAAAGUGGUACGCGAGCUGGGUUUAGAACGUCGUGAGACAGUUCGGUCCCUAUCUGCCGUGGGCGCUGGAGAACUGAGGGGGGCUGCUCCUAGUACGAGAGGACCGGAGUGGACGCAUCACUGGUGUUCGGGUUGUCAUGCCAAUGGCACUGCCCGGUAGCUAAAUGCGGAAGAGAUAAGUGCUGAAAGCAUCUAAGCACGAAACUUGCCCCGAGAUGAGUUCUCCCUGACUCCUUGAGAGUCCUGAAGGAACGUUGAAGACGACGACGUUGAUAGGCCGGGUGUGUAAGCGCAGCGAUGCGUUGAGCUAACCGGUACUAAUGAACCGUGAGGCUUAACCUU
rnacentral:rRNA from 1 species